AAUCAAGUGCCUUAAGGGUGUUCGGUGGAUGCCUUGGCGCUGAGAGGCGAUGAAGGACGUGCUACGCUGCGAUAAGCCGUGGGGAGCUGCGAAAAAGCUUUGAUCCGCGGAUUUCCGAAUGGGGAAACCCACCUUCGAUAGCCGGAACUCCAAGACCUUGUGUGUUGGGGUUCGACCAGAAAUGCGAGAAAUCAAACCGCGAGGUUUUGGAUUUCCGGUUAUCAAGAGAAGGUAUGAGACCUCCGAAUAAAAUAGGAGGUUUUAAGCAAACCCAGGGAACUGAAACAUCUAAGUACCUGGAGGAAAGGACAUCAAUCGAGACUCCGUUAGUAGUGGCGAGCGAACGCGGACCAGGCCAGUGAUACAUCAAAGACAAUCGGAACCUGUCAGGAAAGCAGGGCCUCAGAGGGUGAUAGCCCCGUACGAGU
rnacentral:rRNA from 1 species